rnacentral:rRNA from 1 species
CAGUCGCCACGGGAAUACGAAGGGGGCUAGCGUUGUUCGGAUUUACUGGGCGUAAAGGGCGCGUAGGCGGGCGAAUAAGUCAGGGGUGAAAUCCCAAGGCUCAACCUUGGAACUGCCUUUGAUACUGUUUGUCUUGAGUUCGAGAGAGGUAAGUGGAACUGCGAGUGUGGAGGUGAAAUUCGUAGAUAUUCGCAAGAACACCAGUGGCGAAGGCGGCUUACUGGCUCGAAACUGACGCUGAGGCGCGAAAGCGUGGGGAGCAAACAGGAUUAGAUACCCCGGUAGUCCCUGUCUCUUAUAC